GCCACUACACAUUCCUACCAAGGCUACAAGAUGAUCUAAAUCUUUUCCGAGAUGGGUGGGAUAAUCACCCUUUGAGAACAGAACACAACAUGUCUCCAAACCAGCUCUGGGAAUUGGGUCAAAUUCAUUAUCCAGUUGAUGAUCCCCAAGAUGAAGAGGAACUGAACAUUGCUGAUAUUGAUUGGGAAAGCAGUGGAUUGCCUCCUGAUGAAAGUGUUGGUGUUAAUGUUCCUACUGUAGAAUGUCCACUUACACCAGAGCAACUUGCAGCACUGAAGGACACAGUGGAUCCAAGAUCACCAUCCCAAUCCCACGGGACAGACAUUUAUACGGCUGCAGUGCAGUUUUGCCAGUCACUUGAGUAAUGGCACAUUAAGUAGACACAUGAAGUGCUGGAACUGAAUGUAAAUUUAUUUGAUGGAAAAUAAUAUUUUUUUUCCCAGAACCGUUUCAUUAAGUACAUUGGCACUAUGGAGAGCUAAAUUGCUCUGUUGAAAACUAUUGCAUAGUGGUUUCCCCUUCUCAAAAAUAAAACCGCAAUUCUACAUGAACGUGUGGGU